GACGAACGCUGGCGGCGUGCCUAAUACAUGCAAGUAGAACGCACAGUUUAUACCGUAGCUUGCUACACCAUAGACUGUGAGUUGCGAACGGGUGAGUAACGCGUAGGUAACCUGCCUGGUAGCGGGGGAUAACUAUUGGAAACGAUAGCUAAUACCGCAUAAUAUUAAUUAUUGCAUGAUAAUUAAUUGAAAGGUGCAAUUGCACCACUACCAGAUGGACCUGCGUUGUAUUAGCUAGUAGGUGAGGUAACGGCUCACCUAGGCGACGAUACAUAGCCGACCUGAGAGGGUGAUCGGCCACACUGGGACUGAGACACGGCCCAGACUCCUACGGGAGGCAGCAGUAGGGAAUCUUCGGCAAUGGACGAAAGUCUGACCGAGCAACGCCGCGUGAGUGAAGAAGGUUUUCGGAUCGUAAAGCUCGGUUGUAAGAGAAGAACGGGUGUGAGAGUGGAAAGUUCACACUGUGACGGUAUCUUAACAGAAAGGGACGGCUAACUACGUG
rnacentral:rRNA from 1 species